rnacentral:rRNA from 1 species
UACGUAGGGGGCGAGCGUUGUCCAGAGUUACUGGGCGUAAAGCGCUUGUAGGCGGUCCACCAAGUUUGGGGUGACAGUUGCCGACUUAAUCGGCAAAGUGCCUCAAAGACUGGCGGACUUGAGGGCCACAGAGGGACAUGGAACUCCAGGUGUAGUGGUGAAAUGCGUAGAUAUCUGGAAGAACACCAAAGGCGAAGGCAGUGUCCUGGGUGGUCGCUGACGCUGAGAAGCGAAAGCCAGGGGAGCGAACGGG